rnacentral:rRNA from 1 species
UACGUAGGGUGCGAGCGUUGUCCGGAAUUAUUGGGCGUAAAGGGCUCGUAGGCGGUCUGUUGCGUCAGGAGUGAAAACUCGGGGCUUAACCCCGAGCCUGCUUCUGAUACGGGCAGACUAGAGGUAUGCAGGGGAGAACGGAAUUCCUGGUGUAGCGGUGAAAUGCGCAGAUAUCAGGAAGAACACCGGUGGCGAAGGCGGAUCUCUGGGCCGUAACUGACGCUGAGGAGCGAAAGCAUGGGGAGCGAACAGG